rfam:Camelus ferus unplaced genomic scaffold scaffold912, whole genome shotgun sequence.
GAGGGUAUAGCUCAAAUGGUAGAGUGCAUGCUUAGCAUGCACGAGGUCCUGCGUUCAAUUCCCAGUAUCCCUA